CCUACGGGUGGCUGCAGUAGGGAAUAUUAGUAAUGGGCGAAAGCCUGAACUAGCAACGCCGCGUGUGCGAAGAAGGCCUUCGGGUUGUAAAGCACUUUUUGAGAGGAUGAGGAAGGACGGUACUCUCAGAAUAAGUCUCGGCUAACUACGUGCCAGCAGCCGCGGUAACACGUAGGAGGCGAACGUUAUCCGGAUUUACUGGGCGUAAAGCGCGUGUAGGUGGUUUGGUAAGUAGGGCGUGAAAGCUCCUGGCUCAACUGGGAGAGGCCGUUCUAAACUGCCGAACUAGAGGAUGGUAGAGGGAGGUGGAAUUCCGGGUGUAGCGGUGGAAUGCGCAGAUAUCCGGAGGAACACCAGUGGCGAAAGCGGCCUCCUGGACCAUUCCUGACACUCAGACGCGAAAGCUAGGGUAGCAAACGGGAUUAGAUACCCGUGUAGUC
rnacentral:rRNA from 1 species